GAGAAUCUGGCAAAAGGUUCGGGACAACAGUUGGAAACGGCUGCUAAUACCGGAUGUGCCUGUGGGUGAAAGAUUAAUCGCCUUUUGAUGAGCUCGCGUCUGAUUAGCUAGUUGGUGUGGUAAGAGCGCACCAAGGCGACGAUCAGUAGCUGGUCUGAGAGGAUGACCAGUCACACUGGGACUGAGACACGGCCCAGACUCCUACGGGAGGCAGCAGUGGGGAAUUUUCCGCAAUGGGCGAAAGCCUGACGGAGCAAUACCGCGUGAGGGAGGAAGGCUCUUGGGUUGUAAACCUCUUUUCUCAGGGAAUAAGAAAGUGAAGGUACCUGAGGAAUCAGCAUCGGCUAACUCCGUGCCAGCAGCCGCGGUAAUACGGAGGAUGCAAGCGUUAUCCGGAAUGAUUGGGUGUAAAGCGUCCGCAGGUGGUUGCUCAAGUCUGCUGUCAAAGAGUCUGGCUCAACCAGAUAAAGGCAGUGGAAACUGAGAGACCAGAGUGCGGUAGGGGCAGAGGGAAUUCCUGGUGUAGCGGUGAAAUGCGUAGAGAUCAGGAAGAACACCGGUGGCGAAAGCGCUCUGCUGGACCGCAACUGACACUGAGGGACGAAAGCUAGGGGAGCGAAUGGGAUUAGAUACCCCAGUAGUC
rnacentral:rRNA from 1 species